CUUCCGUAAAACCGUCCACUCGUAACGAGGUAGCAAAUUUUCUUCCCGGAAGUUUCAACAAAACUGACCUUUAGCCUAAUUUGAAUAUUUCGGACACUUUUCGUGUUUUGACUUUUUCGAUCCGGAGUACGGUUUUUCCCGGAGUCGGUCCGGCGGAGUUUUGCGGGUAUUUGAAUUGUUGAUAAUUAUCCAGUUUGUCUCGAUAAGCGUGAAACUAGAUAUUUUGAUUAUUAUAUUAAUUCUUAUCUUGUAAUAAUUGCAAAUGGGACCCGCAUACUAAUGAUUGAUUUAAAACACCCCGUUUUGAUGAUUAUCUCGAAAACCAGUACCGAUUGCACCCCGCUUUAUUAAUAUAAAGCUAUUAAAUACGUAUUUUCAUGUCAUAAACGAUCCAAAGGGGUACCAAUUAUUUGUAUAUAUAAAUAGAUUUUUCUACAGCUGAUUUUCACCCGUAGAAAUCAUUUUCACCAGUUUCUUUUCACAAAUACCGAGAGAAACCGAGCGGUGUUCUUCGUGUUCUUCAUAAUCAAACGAGGAUUUGAAGGUGUUAUUGGAAUCCGAUGGAGGCGUAUGAAUAGUCAAAACGAAGCUAUCGACGCGUAGAAUCAGGUUUAAGCAUCCGUUUAUGUGCAGAUUUUUCAGGAUUUGGACGAGACGUGUACGCUCGAAGACGUCAGGAAGUCGAAAUGGUAUUGCAAAGCGAAUAAGGGAUGAAUCGAGUAAGCGAAGCGAUGUGGCGAAUAGAGUACGGCUAGAGAUGGUCUAGAAAUUAUAAUAUGAAUAGAUUGUGAAAGUGGAAAGAUGAGGUUGAGCUAUGAGACUGGAGUCAGAUUUAAGGCAAGUAUCCUAAACCUUUCUCUUGGAUAUAUUGCAAAUAUUCUGAUCCAUUCCUUUGGUAUAUGUUUCAAAGUUCAUACCUUUCUUUUCAAUGUUCGAAAGUGCGAGUAUUCUGAACCAUUCUUUCUAAUCUUCAAGUUUCUAAAGAAUCUCCGUUUUACAAAUUAAUUCGAAGUUCAGAUUGUCAUUGAAGCAUGUGUUGCUCAGUGAUAGUUAGAGCUUUGAAUGAAUUGGGAUCUUCUUGAUUAUUCAACCCGCCAUUGUCAUGCUGGUUUAGCAGGCUAAAUUCAGUUGCUUAGGCGAUAAUGGAGGAUACUGAAUAGUUGAGGAUUUCCUGAACUGUGAUUUAUGAAAUGAUGGAUCAUGAUUUAUGAAUAGAUUAUUAUCAAAGUUUGAAUUGGAAUUAUUCUGUUGUUGAUGAUAUUUAUGAUGAUGUUCUGUUAAUUUACAUUGGCUUCUUGAAUUGAAUUAGAGAAUUGGAUUAUUGUUUUUAUAUAAACCUGUGGACCAGAUUCGUGGUCAUGUUAGGCCAAUGAGUGCCUUGGAUCCAGUGAUAGAGCAUGGCGGGGCCUGCUCGGGGUUAGUGCGGAACUGAUCAGCUGCCUAACCUUGGUUUUAAUUAAAAUGUGAUAGUCCAAUUCAAUAAUUCUUUGGAAAGAUUGAAUUUCUCAGUUUAAAUGCUGCAAGGUAUUGUAAAUCAUUCUAUACAAUACCAUGAACUCAUGAACUCAGGUUGAAUCCUUUUAUAUCUUGAACUCGUGAACUUCUAUUAUAUCAUUUCAGAACUAUCAUUGUUUAUUAUUACUUGCUGAGCAUUGUUGCUCACCCUUGCUAUUCCUUUCUAACCAUUUCAGAAAGGCUUAAAGAUGAGAUGAUUGAUUGAGAUUGUGAGUAAGGCUAAUGCUAGGCGAGGAGACAGAGUUGAGGAUCCAGUGGUCGAGGAGUGUUCAGAAAAGUUGAUGAGGUUGGUGCAAGCUGGAAUAGUUGACAGUGAUUCUUCUUAUCGAAGAUGAUCUGAUUUGGUAAGAGAUGUUGUGUAAUAAUAGUGGUAGAUUCUAAUUUCAAUACUGUAACCUGGAUGCGAUCCUGUUGUUUUGGGGGGUUUAAAUGUUCUCUUUCAAAUCUUUCAUUUAACGUCUUUCAGAUCUUUUAUUA